AAGUCGUAACAAGGUUUCCGUAGGUGAACCUGCGGAAGGAUCAUUAACACUUUUGAAAAGCAUCCAAUAUCAACAAAUCACAACCAAACGGUCAACUAUCUCCUCCCUAUUUCGCACACCGGAGACGGUACGAGUAGGCUAACAUGAAAAAUAACAAGCUCAAGCAUUUGUAAAUUUGCAAGUGCAAUGGCAUGUUAUUUUCAAACACAAGAUAACCCCUUUUAAUUAUAUUAUUCAUUUAAUAUAAACGAACAACUCUUCGAAUUUGUCCUUGCUUUUAAAUCAAGAACAAAAACGAACUAAACUAAAAUAUACAUUCGAUAUAUUUUUAUUUUACGAAAUAAUAUAUAUUUAUAAGAACAACUCUUAGCAAUGGAUAUCUUGGUUCUC
rnacentral:misc_RNA from 1 species